rnacentral:rRNA from 1 species
AAGCCAGACUCCUACGGGAGGCAGCAGUGGGGGAUAUUGCACAAUGGGGGAAACCCUGAUGCAGCGACGCCGCGUGGGUGAAGAAGCGCCUCGGCGCGUAAAGCCCUGUCAGCAGGGAAGAAAAUGACGGUACCUGAAGAAGAAGCCCCGGCUAACUACGUGCCAGCAGCCGCGGUAAUGCGUAGGGGGCAAGCGUUAUCCGGAUUUACUGGGUGUAAAGGGGGCGCAGACGGCGAUGCAAGCCAGGAGUGAAAGCCCGGGGCCCAACCCCGGGACUGCUCUUGGAACUGCGUGGCUGGAGUGCAGGAGGGGCAGGCGGAAUUCCUGGUGUAGCGGUGAAAUGCGUAGAUAUCAGGAGGAACACCGGUGGCGAAGGCGGCCUGCUGGACUGCAACUGACGUUGAGGCCCGAAAGCGUGGGGAGCAAACAGGAUUAGAUACCCCUGUAC